AAAACAUAACAACCUAACCUAAGUCCAUUAGAGCAAUCCAAAUUGCAUAGGUACAAAGAUUCCAUGACUGCAGCAUCAAAAGAACACAUUCUAAGCAACUGGAAGACUAACCAUAAAUCAAAACCAUGCCAUAUAAAACACUGGAGGUUAGCUUAGCUUAAGCUUAUGUUUGUCCCAACGCUUCUUCUUCUACUACCUUUCAAAACCAUUCCACUACCUAAGCAUCCACCUAGGUAUUAGUGAUCCAGAAGACGCUGUUAUACCCAUGGCUCCUCACUCUAAUGAAAAAAAUCAAGAUAGAAACGAAGCGAGAAAACUCACAGUAGAACGAGGCACAACUCUGUUGCGGAAGCAAAAACGAGGGUUCGCCAACGCCGAAAGCGUGGCCGCGAGGCUUGUUCCUCCACAAUCCCAAUCCGCCACAAAGAGCCUUGAGCCACGAAACACGAAUUAGUUACUGUAGAGGUCGAGAUGGAUUGAAAACGAAAGGAAAUGUGAAACUUACGGUGUUAGGGCACAAUGCUUGAAUGCUCUCCGUCGCAAUGCUUGAAUGCUCUCCGUCGUCGCAAUGCUUGAAUGCCU
rnacentral:lncRNA from 1 species